UUUCAUAAUAAGGAAAUACUAAAGUAUAAAUAGAGAGUUUGUGGUUGCUGAAGCAAAAAAAAAAAAAAGAAUGUCAAACCUUUUAAUUUGACAAUAUCUAUAUCUUUACAAAAUAAUAAUUGGCUUUGUCUAUACAUAUAUAUUUCUUUGUUGUGCCAACUUUAUAUUUUUAGCAAGAGGCAUGGAGCAAAGAGAGUACCCCACUGGGCCAAGUCCACUCACUCUUGUUCCUAUGUCGCACACUACAUUGCUUCCUUUCCCAAAUUUCCAAUGUUUUUUUUUUUCCUCUCUUCUUCUUCUUUUCUGUUGGUGUCAUUUUCCACCAUUUGUAUAUUUCCUUUUCGGAGCUCCAUAAUAGAU
rnacentral:lncRNA from 1 species